GAUGAACGCUGGCGGCGUGCUUAACACAUGCAAGUCGAACGAAGCACCUUAUUCUGAUUUCUUCGGAAUGAAAAAUUUGGUGACUGAGUGGCGGACGGGUGAGUAACGCGUGGGUAACCUGCCUCAUACAGGGGGAUAACAGUUAGAAAUGACUGCUAAUACCGCAUAAGACCACAGCACCGCAUGGUGCAGGGGUAAAAACUCCGGUGGUAUGAGAUGGACCCGCGUCUGAUUAGGUAGUUGGUGGGGUAACGGCCUACCAAGCCGACGAUCAGUAGCCGACCUGAGAGGGUGACCGGCCACAUUGGGACUGAGACACGGCCCAAACUCCUACGGGAGGCAGCAGUGGGGAAUAUUGCACAAUGGGGGAAACCCUGAUGCAGCGACGCCGCGUGAGCGAUGAAGUAUUUCGGUAUGUAAAGCUCUAUCAGCAGGGAAGAGAAUGACGGUACCUGACUAAGAAGCACCGGCUAAAUACGUGCCAGCAGCCGCGGUAAUACGUAUGGUGCAAGCGUUAUCCGGAUUUACUGGGUGUAAAGGGAGCGUAGACGGAUAGGCAAGUCUGGAGUGAAAACCCAGGGCUCAACCCUGGGACUGCUUUGGAAACUGCAGAUCUGGAGUGCCGGAGAGGUAAGCGGAAUUCCUAGUGUAGCGGUGAAAUGCGUAGAUAUUAGGAGGAACACCAGUGGCGAAGGCGGCUUACUGGACGGUGACUGACGUUGAGGCUCGAAAGCGUGGGGAGCAAACAGG
rnacentral:rRNA from 1 species